rnacentral:tRNA from 1 species
CGCCUGGGUGCCGGGGCUGGCGGGAUCGGACAGGGCGGUCAUGAAGGCGGCAUAGCCUUCGCGCAGUCCCGACUCCGCGCCGGGCGCC